rnacentral:tRNA from 4 species
UGGGGCGUCGUCUAAUGGUAGGACAGUGGCCUUUGGAGCCAUGAAUUGCUGGUUCGACUCCAGCCGCCUCAGCCA